rnacentral:RNase_P_RNA from 1 species
CGAGGCGGUCGGAUGGCCGCGCGUCGCGGGGCAACCCGUCGGCGUGAGGAAAGUCCGAGCUCCACAGCGCAGGGUAGCGGGUAACUCCCGUCCGCCGAGAGGCGAGGACCAGCGCCACAGUGACGAUGCCGACCGAGCCUUCGGGCUCGGUUUGGAGUGAAACGCGGCAAGCUCUACCCGGAGCAAGGCCAAAUAGGAGGGCGCAGCCCGGUUCGCCGGGCGACAGGCGCGCUGCCCAGCCCUCGGGUCGGCCGCAUGAGCCGUCGGGUGACCGGCGGCCCCAGAUGGAUGGCCAUCGCCGUGCUACCGCGAGGCGGCGCGGCACAGAACUCGGCUUACAGGCCGCGCUCGCUGA